rnacentral:lncRNA from 1 species
GUGGAUCAGGUAUUGUUACUAUGUUCACAUUUCAAGAGUACCAUGUGUACAACAAAGUUCUUCUCUUUGCAUGAAAAAUUUAGCUAUGUAAACUUACCCCUAUUACCUUAGUCCCUUAUGGGGCUUAUGGCUUUUCCUUUGUCUUAGGUGGUUGAGAGACAGAACAGUUUGACUUGAGCACUAACUUUCUCAUUCUUAGCAAGUUUCAUAUCAGAGGUUUUGUGAUAUUUUCAAAAGAAAGCUUAAAUGUUCCUCUUAUGGUUCUCUCAUGUCACUCAAAUGGUGUAUGAUUCCUCACCAAGGCAUAUGGUAAGAGUUGCCUUCUUUAUUUCAUCCUAUUUCUAAAAGGCUUAUGUGGAGUUCAAGGUAGGGAUGAAAGGAGAUAGCAUACUUACUUUGCAUAUAUUGCGAAGUCAAAGCUCGGAUCCUUGAAGAGAGGUGUCAUACUCCCAGAUCAAGAUGUGCAAGUGUGAUAUAUGGUGGACUAGGUUGCUCCUUUAUUUGAUAGACUCUCUAUGUAUUGAGACAUGGCUAGCUUUUUUUUUUCUCUUUUUUUUAUAUAUAUAUGAGCUUUCAUGUGCUCAAUUUUCUUUUUCUGUGGACUUGCAUAUGUCCAUCUUUUUAUUUCAUUUUGCCUAGCCUUUUGAUGUCUCAUUUACCAAAUAAUGCUUAGAGAGAUGUUCUAACAUUUAGAGUAUGGAGCAACCUAUUUAGUGGAUGCGAAAUACAUGUGGUUGCGUACUUCCAGUGUAGAAGCAGCAUAUAUAUAUGUGGUGUGUACGUGAUCUUGAUCUUAGGAGCAUGAAAAGUCUCUUAACAAGGGUCAACAAGACUUGACGACACUCAACACAAAGCAAAUAGCUUAUGUGGAAAGAUUGCAAUUAUGUAAAGUAGAUAUGGCUGUGGUAGGAAUUCAUCACCAUUGAGGAACAAUUAAGGUUUUGAUCAUUUUAAGAAUAAAUCUCUGAUAAUCAUGCAUGCUUAGAAAAAUAUUAUAGUAGCUCUUGUCUUACUAUCUCAUGUCCCACAACAACUUAGACUUAGUUCUAGCACUUGCAACCCACAAAGUUUUUAGGUUCAUGGCAGUUUAAGUGAGCUAAGUGAUCCAUACUUAGAGAAAUACUAAGUUGUAUACUAGGUACUAGAGAAACAUUAACAAGCAACUAGUCAUCAUUUCCAUGAGGGAUAUAAACAUACAUGAAGCAUAUAUGCUAAAGGGAAAUGCUAAUAAAUAUUUUUUUUAAGUAAGAAUGAUAAAAUGCAUGAAAUAAAUAGGAUAGAAUACUUACCUUAGUGGGGGAGAGGAUCUCCCCCAAGCUAGAUCUUCGCUCACUGUGG